rnacentral:rRNA from 1 species
UACGUAGGGAGCAAGCGUUGUCCGGAAUCAUUGGGCGUAAAGCGCGCGUAGGUGGCUUCGUAAGUCCGUUGUGAAAGUCAAAGGCUCAACCUUUGAAAGCCGAUGGAUACUGUGAAGCUAGAGUACGGAAGAGGCGAGUGGAAUUCCUGGUGUAGCGGUGAAAUGCGCAGAUAUCAGGAGGAACACCAAUUGCGAAGGCAGCUCGCUGGGACGUUACUGACGCUGAGACGCGAAAGCGUGGGGAGCAAACAGG